UAGCCGUAAACGAUACUCGCUAGGUGUCGGCCACGGUGCGACCGUUGUCGGUGCCGUAGGGAAGCCGUGAAGCGAGCCACCUGGGAAGUACGGCCGCAAGGCUGAAACUUAAAGGAAUUGGCGGGGGGAGCACCACAACGGGUGGAGCCUGCGGUUUAAUUGGACUCAACGCCGGGAAGCUCACCGGAUGAGACAGCGGAAUGAUUGCCGGGCUGAAGACCCUGCAUGACCAGCUGAGAGGUGGUGCAUGGCGUAGUCGUGU
rnacentral:rRNA from 1 species